ACCGGCGCACGGGUGAGUAACACGUAUGCAACCUGCCUCCGUCAGGGGGACAACCCGGCGAAAGCCGGGCUAAUCCCGCGUAUAUUCCGUGAGGGCAUCCUUACGGAAGGAAAGGCUUCGGCCGGACGGGGAUGGGCAUGCGGCGCAUUAGGUAGUCGGGGGUGUAACGGACCACCGAGCCGACGAUGCGUAGGGGUUCUGAGAGGAAGGUCCCCCACACUGGUACUGAGACACGGACCAGACUCCUACGGGAGGCAGCAGUGAGGAAUAUUGGUCAAUGGUCGGAAGACUGAACCAGCCAAGCCGCGUGAAGGAAGAAGGUGCUCGGCAUCGUAAACUUCUUUUGUCAGGGAACAAAGGGCGGUACGUGUACCGCUGUGAGUGUACCUGAAGAAAAAGCAUCGGCUAACUCCGUGCCAGCAGCCGCGGUAAUACGGAGGAUGCGAGCGUUAUCCGGAUUUAUUGGGUUUAAAGGGUGCGCAGGCGGCGCGGUAAGUCAGCGGUAAAAGCCCGGGGCUCAACCCCGGCGAGCCGUUGAAACUGCCGUGCUAGAGUAAGGUCGAGGUAUGCGGAAUGCGCGGUGUAGCGGUGAAAUGCAUAGAUAUCGCGCAGAACUCCGAUUGCGAAGGCAGCAUACCGGUCCUUUACUGACGCUCAGGCACGAAAGCGUGGGGAUCAAACAGGCUUAGAUACCCUGGUAGUCCACGCAGUAAACGAUGAAUACUGGGUGUUCGGAAUGUAGAUUCUGAGUGCCGAAGCGAAAGCGUUAAGUAUUCCACCUGGGGAGUACGCCGGCAACGGUGAAACUCAAAGGAAUUGACGGGGGCCCGCACAAGCGGAGGAACAUGUGGUUUAAUUCGAUGAUACGCGAGGAACCUUACCCGGGCUCAAACGCCGCCGGACAGGAAAAGAGAUUUUCCCUCCUACGGGUCGGCGGCGAGGUGCUGCAUGGUUGUCGUCAGCUCGUGCCGUG
rnacentral:rRNA from 1 species